AGAGUUUGAUCCUGGCUCAGAUUGAACGCUGAUGCUUUACACUGCAAGUCGAACGGUAACAGGCCUUCGGGCGCUGACGAGUGGCGAACGGGUGAGUAAUGUAUCGGAACGUACCUUUCAGUGGGGGAUAACGUAGCGAAAGUUACGCUAAUACCGCAUAUUCUGUGAGCAGGAAAGCAGGGGAUCGCAAGACCUUGCGCUGAUUGAGCGGCCGAUAUCAGAUUAGCUAGUUGGUGAGGUAAAGGCUCACCAAGGCGACGAUCUGUAGCGGGUCUGAGAGGAUGAUCCGCCACACUGGAACUGACACGGUCCAGACUCCUACGGGAGGCAGCAGUGGGGAAUUUUGGACAAUGGGGGCAACCCUGAUCCAGCCAUGCCGCGUGAGUGAAGAAGGCCUUCGGGUUGUAAAGCUCUUUCGGCCGGGAAGAAAUCGUACGGGUUAAUACCCUGUGCGGAUGACGGUACCGGCAUAAGAAGCACCGGCUAACUACGUGCCAGCAGCCGCGGUAAUACGUAGGGUGCGAGCGUUAAUCGGAAUUACUGGGCGUAAAGCGUGCGCAGGCGGUUUUGUAAGACAGGCGUGAAAUCCCCGGGCUCAACCUGGGAACUGCGCUUGUGACUGCAAGGCUAGAGUAUGGCAGAGGGGGGUGGAAUUCCACGUGUAGCAGUGAAAUGCGUAGAGAUGUGGAGGAACACCAAUGGCGAAGGCAGCCCCCUGGGCCAAUACUGACGCUCAUGCACGAAAGCGUGGGUAGCAAACAGGAUUAGAUACCCUGGUAGUCCACGCCCUAAACGAUGUCAACUAGGUGUUGGGUGGGUAAAACCAUUUAGUACCGUAGCUAACGCGUGAAGUUGACCGCCUGGGGAGUACGGCCGCAAGGUUAAAACUCAAGGAAUUGACGGGGACCCGCACAAGCGGUGGAUGAUGUGAUUAAUUCGAUGCAACGCGAAAA
rnacentral:rRNA from 1 species